GUACACUCCUACGGGAGGCAGCAGUGGGGAAUAUUGGACAAUGGGCGCAAGCCUGAUCCAGCCAUGCCGCGUGAGUGAUGAAGGCCCUAGGGUUGAAAAGCUCUUUCACCGGUGAAGAUAAUGACGGUAACCGGAGAAGAAGCCCCGGCUAACUUCGUGCCAGCAGCCGCGGUAAUACGAAGGGGGCUAGCGUUGUUCGGAUUUACUGGGCGUAAAGCGCACGUAGGCGGACUAUUAAGUCAGGGGUGAAAUCCCGGGGCUCAACCCCGGAACUGCCUUUGAUACUGGUAGUCUUGAGUUCGAGAGAGGUGAGUGGAAUUCCGAGUGUAGAGGUGAAAUUCGUAGAUAUUCGGAGGAACACCAGUGGCGAAGGCGGCUCACUGGCUCGAUACUGACGCUGAGGUGCGAAAGCGUGGGGAGCAAACAGGAUUAGAUACCCUAGUAGUCCC
rnacentral:rRNA from 1 species